rnacentral:miRNA from 14 species
AGGGACUAAAGGGGAAGGCCAGUCAUGUGGAGGAUACUAGUCUGAGAAAUCGAGACUAAUUGACCUGCCGUGAACUGGCUUCUCAGCCCCCU